rnacentral:piRNA from 1 species
UAAUACACGUGUCUUCUGAUCACUGC